UACGUAGGGGGCAAGCGUUGUCCGGAAUCAUUGGGCGUAAAGCGCGUGUAGGCGGCUCGGUAAGUCUGCUGUGAAAGUCCAGGGCUCAACCCUGGGAUGCCGGUGGAUACUGUCGAGCUCGAGUCCGGAAGAGGCGGGUGGAAUUCCUGGUGUAGUGGUGAAAUGCGCAGAUAUCAGGAGGAACACCAAUGGCGAAGGCAGCUCGCUGGGACGUGACUGACGCUGAGACGCGAAAGCGUGGGGAGCAAACAGG
rnacentral:rRNA from 1 species